ACAUCCACCAGUUAAAGAAUGAGAGCUUCUGUAUCUUUUCCUUUGGUUCAAAAUCAUCGAAUUGGUCUGCACCCAUGGUAGAGAUGUUUGGCUUGGUUCCACCAGUUCCUACUGCAAUUAUGUAUAAUGCACAGUAGAAGACACCUUUUUGGAAAGGAGAGGCAUGCUUGUCACAUUCCUCUUCUUUGAUCCCUGGGCCGCAUGAUGGAGGUCUCAGAGCAGGUACUGAAACUGCUAGGGUAAUGAGGCACAUUCCCAAGAAAUAAAUAGCCGAUGCAAUGAGAAAAGUCCAGAAUCGACCAAGAUGAGCAUCAGCAAGAUAAGCACCUAAAAUGGGUAAAAUCCAAGCAGUACCAACCCAAUUGGUGACAUUAUUUGAGGAUGUUACAGUGCCUUCAUGGAGCUUCUUUGUCAAAUACAGCACCAGAUUUGAUGCUAUCCCAUAAUAUGCCAUCCUCUCAAAUAUUUCAUACCCCACAAUAAAGGAACAAGCUCUCCAUCUCCCAGUCUUUGAUCUCAAGACUGGUCUGCCCUUGAGGUCCACAGUCCCAUCUUCUGUAUAAUCUUCUCUCCCACCUGCAGGGCCUUUCUCUUCUACUUUCUCCAUUAUAGGUUAGAUAUGCUUAGCUACUAAAAGGUCAAGUAAAUGUGAGGACCUCUUUAUAAAUUGGAGG
rnacentral:misc_RNA from 1 species